UGAUAUGUAACCGAAGGGCUUCAAGUUGGGA
rnacentral:piRNA from 1 species